AAAAUGGAUAGGGUAAAUAAAUAAAAAAACAAGUGAAAUUAAAACAAUGGAAAAGAACGAGGGACCAAUAGUGCUAAUAGCCCUCACAGACCUAGAGUACGCGGAUCUGGUCCGGCUCGGGUCAGAUCAUCGGGUCGGGCAUGCCUUUGUUGAUGCGGCGCCGUUUCUUUCACUGCAUAUAUGUAAAAAACCAAAAAGUAAUAGCUAUUCAUCAUUUUAUUUGAAACCGAAAGAAAACCUAGAAGCCUAAAGCACUAUCCCUACGCCACUUCAUGCCCCGGCCGUUCAGAGGCCUCUGAACCCUCGCUCAUUCUCCAAUUGCAACGGAGAGAACAAGCAUUCGGCCUCGAGGUGUACGGUGGCCGUACGGUGACGUAGAGGGCGGUGCACGUGCGAGGGGAGGUCCUAGUGGCUGCGGCGCUGGAGGCUCGCGCUGUUAGGGUUUCGGCUCUAUUUUUUUUAAUGUAAUGGGCUUAGGGUUAGGUUAGUGGGCUAGGUGCACUGGGCCAUUUGGGUUUAAUUUUUAAUGGGCUGCCAAUUUGGGUUGAUUGGGCUUUUUAGAUAGUGGGCUAUUAUAUUUGGACAUUUGGACUGUUAUUAAUUUUGUUUGGUUUAUUUUAUUGUUUUGAUUUGAUUUUAUAUUACGGGCCGGGCAAAUUGGCCUAUUACAAUCAUUAUAUUAUUAGUAAUACUAUUUUAUAGUUCCCAUUGUUUUA